AAAAAAGCAACCCCUGAAUUUCCAUGUCCAACGUUUGACCGUCCGUUUUAUUUGAUAAAAUUAUAAAAAAAAUUAAAAAGAUAAGUCACGCAUAAAGUAUUAAUCAUGUUUUAUCAUCUAACAAUAAUGAAAAUACUAAUUAUAAAAAAAUUUCAUAUAAGACGGAUAGUCAAACGUUGGACAUGGAAACUCAGGGUUUGCCUUUUU
rnacentral:pre_miRNA from 1 species